rnacentral:rRNA from 1 species
GACGAACGCUGGCGGCGUGCUUAACACAUGCAAGUCGAACGGUGAAGCUCCAGCUUGCUGGAGUGGAUCAGUGGCGAACGGGUGAGUAACACGUGAGCAACCUGCCCCUGACUCUGGAAUAAGCGCUGGAAACGGCGUCUAAUACUGGAUACGAGAAGGGUCCGCAUGGGCACUUUCUGGAAAGUUUUUCGGUUGGGGAUGGGCUCGCGGCCUAUCAGCUUGUUGGUGAGGUAAUGGCUCACCAAGGCGACGACGGGUAGCCGGCCUGAGAGGGCGACCGGCCACACUGGGACUGAGACACGGCCCAGACUCCUACGGGAGGCAGCAGUGGGGAAUACUGCACAAUGGGCGAAAGCCUGAUGCAGCGACGCCGCGUGAGGGAUGACGGCCUUCGGGUUGUAAACCUCUUUCAGCAGGGAAGAAGCGAAAGUGACGGUACCUGCAGAAGAAGCACCGGCUAACUACGUG